rnacentral:rRNA from 1 species
UACAGAGGAGCCAAGCGUUGUCCGGAUUGACUGGGCGUAAAGCGCACGCAGGCGGCCGCGCGCGUGGGGGGUGAAAUCUGGCCGCUUAACGGCCAGGCGCCAUCCCAUACGGCGCGGCUGGAGCCAUGCAGAGGGCGGUGGAAUUGCCGGUGUAGUGGUGAAAUGCGUAGAUAUCUGGAGGAACACCGGUGGCGAAGGCGGCAUCCUGGACCGAGAUUGACGCUGAGGCGCGAAAGCCAGGGGAGCAAACGGG